rnacentral:sRNA from 1 species
GCAGGACGCAGGGUUCGGGCCUAGGGUAGGCUCUCCUGAAUCGACAGGCGCCGGACCUCUGAUCUUCGUGAAGACUCUGACUGGUAAGACCAUCACCCUCGAGGUUGAGCCCAGUGACACCAUCGAGAAUGUCAAGGCAAAGAUCCAAGAUAAGGAAGGCAUCCCUCCUGACCAGCAGAGGCUGAUCUUUGCUGGAAAACAGCUGGAAGAUGGGCGCACCCUGUCUGACUACAACAUCCAGAAAGAGUCCACCCUGCACCUGGUGCUCCGUCUCAGAGGUGGGAUGCAAAUCUUCGUGAAGACACUCACUGGCAAGACCAUCACCCUUGAGGUCGAGCCCAGUGACACCAUCGAGAACGUCAAAGCAAAGAUCCAAGACAAGGAAGGCAUUCCUCCUGACCAGCAGAGGUUGAUCUUUGCCGGAAAGCAGCUGGAAGAUGGGCGCACCCUGUCUGACUACAACAUCCAGAAAGAGUC